rnacentral:rRNA from 1 species
AUUGAACGCUGGCGGCGUGCCUAACACAUGCAAGUCGAGCGGUAACAGGUGUAGCAAUACAUGCUGACGAGCGGCGAACGGGUGAGUAAUGCUUCGGAAUCUGCCCAUGUAGUGGGGAAUAACCAGCCGAAAGGUUGGCUAAUACCGCAUACGACCUACGGGUGAAAGCAGGGGAUCGCAAGACCUUGCGCUAUUGGAUGAGCCGAAGUCGGAUUAGCUAGUUGGUAGGGUAACGGCCUACCAAGGCGACGAUCCGUAGCUGGUCUGAGAGGACGACCAGCCACACUGGGACUGAGACACGGCCCAGACUCCUACGGGAGGCAGCAGUGGGGAAUAUUGGACAAUGGGCGCAAGCCUG